rnacentral:lncRNA from 1 species
AGAGGGGCAGCAGUCACUCCCCCUAGAGCAGGUCUUCCAGGAAGCCUGACUGAUCAGAAUGGCCCAGAGAGAACAGCAAACAUGGAUUGUCAGAAGGAGCAUAGCUUAUGCAGUGAAGGACAGUGCUUGAAGCACAGUCCCCAGUAUCCUCUCAGCCCUGUCAUCAGAGACCUGCUCUUCAGCCUGCACCUUCCAGGUAGUUCAGCAGCAAGCCACCUGGCAACUGUCCUGCCAGGGAGGAAGCAGUUAUGCAGAGGCCUACAGCCCCAGUCAGCUGACAGCCCGUGGUAUAUGGAGAUGGGAGUGCUCAGAGGCACCUGGAAAUAGACCCGACAUAGAUGGCUGAGCACGAGGUACCCCUUCAGACCCAUCCGUCAGCAGCAGGCCCUGCCAGAGGAUGGCCUAUUGAACAUUUCCAGGAAUAGCACCAGGAGCCUGUCAACUGCUUUCUUGGAAAUACACUCAAUAAGGAUGGCUGUCCUCCAGCCGGCAGAGCAGAAAGCCUGGCCUGGACCAGAAAUGGCAGCUCCUGGAGGCAGCCUUCCUUAGGACCUUGAGAAUGGGGCAUCUGUUCUUUUGGGCUGCUUGUGGAACUUCCAUCAGUUGCUGGAGUCACUCAGGGUGGAAAGGGACGUUGAGAUGGCCUGCAGAGGCUCCAGGUCCAGCUUCCUUCAGACAGCUUGGUGCCCUUCACACGCAUAAAAAUAUCAACAGGCAGGAAGGUGACAGGUUAGAUGACAAGCUCUUGUCAGCAGUGAGAAUUCACAUCGCCUGGCAGUGAACACCUACACACCUUCUCUUAUAAAUUUCACCCCUAAGGACACCCAAAGGAGCUCCAGAAAGGGGGUUCUUUCUUUAAAGCCCCCAUCUUCCAGUCAUUCUGAGAAUAUAUCAAAUAUAUAGCAAAAA